rnacentral:rRNA from 1 species
AUGGGCAUCAAUCCAACCAAGCUCCUUCGUCCUAAAAGGCCAGGAUUCCAGUUUAUUGAGGAAGGCAAACUUUCGAGGCAGGCUGAAUUGCAGAGGAUUAAGAAUCAAUUUGGUGAAGCACAAGCUAAAGAGCUUAAAGUAAAGCAAGCUCAUCUUGCCGAGGCAAAGGUCGAAGCUGACAUGAAUCCAAAGCUAAUUGAAAUUGCUCCUGGUGGAAGGCCUCCAAAGCAGAAGCAGAAGGAAGAGAUUCCUGAUAUUGAGCCAUGGGACUCAAAAAUCCUGAUAUCUGCCACGUACGAGGACAUCUCCUUGGAAAAGCUUAAUAUGGAUAAGAUCACCAUCUACGUGCAACAUCCAGAGCCAUUGGAACCACCGGCUAAGCCCAUGACACCACCGCCUCAGCCACUUAAGCUUACUAACAAUGAGCAGAAGAAGUAUAGAACACAGAGGCGCCUCGCUACGGAAAAAGAUAGGCAAGAAAUGAUUAGGCAAGGCCUCUUGGAGCCACCAGAUCCCAAGGUCAAGAUGAGCAACCUUAUGAAAGUACUUGGUGCACAAGCUACACAGGACCCGACACGCAUGGAGAUGGAAAUACGAGCGGCUGCUGCAGAGCGCGAGCAGGCUCACGUCGACCGCAACACUGCCCGCAAACUCACGCCAUCUGAGCGCCGCAAGAAGAAGGAGAGGAAGCUUUUUGGUGAUCCUAACGACACAUUAGACUGUACUGUUUGUGUGUACAGAAUCAGAGACCUGUCACACCGUCGCUUUAAAGUGGACGUCAAUGCCCGAGAUAACCGGCUGACUGGCGCUGCGGUGAUCACAGAUGGUGUAAGUGUUGUGGUUGUGGAAGGACGGAAGCAAUCGAUCAAGAGGUACAAUCAGCUCAUGAUGAACCGGAUUGACUGGGCUGCUGCUGCAGUUGGUGGCAAGGAUAACGCCGCUGAUGAACCAGACAGGCAGGUGAAUAGCUGCGCAUUAGUAUGGCGAGGUAGUGUGGUGAAGCCCGCCUUUCCCAGGUGGUUCGGUGUGCGUAAGUGCCUGAGUGAGGCUGCUGCCAAGAAACUGUUUGUAGAUGCUAAAGUUGCACACUACUGGGACCUGGCUGUCAACUUCUCGGAAGAUUCGUCUUGUUGA